UGUUCCUCUCUCAUUUGAUCAAGUUGCAUCUGGCCAUUAUAACAACAUGAUCCGUUCGAGAUGUCAAACACACCGUUUUAUUUAUUCUUGAUAGUAGCUGAGCUGAGACUUGGGCUUCUUAUUUUCGUGCAGGGAUUCAUCAUUUGGGAUCAGACUUAGAUCAUGGUGCGUUCUUCUCAAGCCGCUAAUGUGGAUAAAAGUAGAGCUUGCCGUUCUCAGAGUUUUAACUUGUGGAUUUUCAUUUAGACCUUACAUUCAGAUUAAGCCUGUAGUGGUUCUAUUUGAUUAAAUCAUGUCAUCACUCUCAAGGCUAUGGCUCUUGUAUGAGCUUCUACCUGCAUGUUUAACGGGCAUUCAUCCCAUUCAUGCUUCUGCUCGCACUCCGUAAGAUCUGCUUUCUCUUUUGGAGUACUUUAUACGAGCCUUUGAUGGUAUCUAGGGGUAUCUUUUGCUGUUUUAAUGUUUUUGUUUUUGCAUUUGUUUCGGAUGUUGUAUCCACAAUAUGCUUUAUUAUAUUGUUCUAUGUUGGAUCAUUUCAAAUAAAUGAAACUCAGUGUUAAAAAAAAGCAAAUAGAUUUUCAUUUGACGUUAUAAAAUAUAUACAUAUUUACAUGUUUCUACU